AUCCGGCUGACGAGUUCCAAACAGAACGAAACGCGCGUCCUAGAU
rnacentral:hammerhead_ribozyme from 1 species